ensembl:lncRNA
UUAAUGGAUAAAAAGAAUUUUAUUACUCAAUUAAGUAGAGACAAAUCAUUUGAUAACAGUAUACAUCCAUUUAUGAUAAGAACUCUUUAAAAACUUAGAAUAGAGGGGAAAGUCUUCAAUCUGAUAAAUGUAUUUACUAAAGUCUACAUCAAACAUCAUACUUCAUGGUGAAAUAUUAUGAACAUUUUCUAUCAGAUCAGGAAUGAGACACAGAUAUCCACAAUCACCAUUAAUGCCCUGAUCAUGCCAAGGAUAGAAGUGCAGAAGAGGAUUGUGUUGAAUCUAUAGAUCAACCUGAGAAGAAUUGGUAUCUACAGAAGAUGAAGCCUUCCAUCCAAGACCGUAGCGUGUCUCUCCAUUAUUUAGGUUUUCUUUAUUUGUUCUCAGCAGUGUUUUAUGGUUUUCAGUGUAGAGAUCUUGCACAUAUUUUGUCUUUAUCUACAAAAAUCUUUCUAGGAUUUUGAUAGUUAUUGCAUUAAAACUAUAUACAAAUUUGAGAAUUAACAUCUUUACUAUGUUGAGUCUUGUAAUCCAUGAGGAUGGUUUGUCUCCUCAAUUAUUUUGAUCUUCUUUGAUUUCUUUCAUCAGCAUUGUGUAGUUUUCAGCAUAAAGUUUUGAACAUAUUUUUGUUCCUUAUAUACCUAAAUAUUUCUUUUUGUAAUUGUGAAUGACAUAGUAUUUUUAAAUUCAUUGUAUACUGUUUAUUGCUAGUGUAUACAAAUAUAGUGGGGUUUUGCAUGUUUAUCUUGAAUCCUAUGAUCUUCCUGAAGUCAUUUAUUAAUUCUAGGAGUUUUUGUUUGUUGAUUGAUUCCUUGGUAUUUUCUACAUAGAAAACCAUGUUAUCUGCAAAUGGUGAUAGUUUUGUUUCUUCCUUUCCUAUCAGAAUGAUUUUCUUUCCAUUACUUGCCUCAUUGCACUAGCUAAAAUUUCCAGCACCAUGCUGAAUAAGAAUGGUGAGAAUGAACAUCCUUGCCUUCUUCGCAAUCCUGGGGGAAAACCACUGAGUAUUCAUAAUUAAGUACGGUGUUAACUGUGGGCUUUUUUAGAUGUGCUUUAUCAAGUUGAGGAAGUUUUUCUCUGUUUCUUUUGGGGUUUUUUUGAGAAUCUUUUGUCAAGUGCUCUUUCUGUGUCAAUUGACAUCUUCACAUGAUUUUUGUUCCAUAGUAUCUUAUGAUGGCAAAUUACAGUGACUGAUUUUUAAUAUUCCACCAGAUUUGCAUGACUGAAAUAAAUCCCAUUUGAUCAUAGUGUAUAAGUCUUUUUACAUGUUGCUGAAUUCUAUUUGUUAACAUUUUUUGAUGGGCAUGUAUCUAUAUUGAUAAGGAAUAUUUGUUGUGAUUUUCUUUCUUUGUGUUGUCUUUAUGUAGUUCUGGAGUGAGGUAACACUAGCUUCACAAAAUGCAUUAGGAAGUGUUUCCUCUUCUAUUUUCAAGAAAAGAUUGUGUAGAAUCAGUACUAAUUCUUUUUUAACAUUUGGUAAAGUUCUCCAAUGAAAUCAUCUGCAUUUGUUAUUUUCUUUUUUUGUGAGUUUUGAAAUAAUGAAUUCGAUUUUCAUAAUAAUCAUAGGGCUAUUCAAACGUUCCGUUCCAUAUUGGGUAAAUUGUGGCAGUUUGUGAUUUUUGAGGAAUUAGUCUAUUUCAUCUAGAUUGUCAAAUUAAAGUAUGUAGAUGUGUAAUGUUGUUCAUAGCAUUCCUUUGUUAAACUUUUGAUGUAUGCAGGGUCUUUGGUGACAUCUCCUGUUUCACUCCCAAUAUUGGAUUUUGUGUCUUCAUUUUUUUUCCCUGUCAGUCCUUCUAGAGGUUUGUCAAUUUUAUUGAUCUUUUCUAAGAACCAGUUCUUUGUUUUCUUGAUUUUCUCUAUGGUUUCUCUGUUUUCAAUUUCAUUGAUUUUUGCUCUUAUUUUUAUCAUAGUCUUUCUUCUGCUUGCUUUAGUUUUAUUUUGCUCUUCUUUUUCUAGGUCCUUGAGGUGGGAGCUAAGACUCUUGAUUUGGGAGUUUUCUCUUUUCUAAUGUAUGCAUUUAGUGCUCAGUAAAACUUUAGUUGUGCCCCACAAAUUUCAAAAUGCUUUAUUUUCAUUUUCAUUUAGUUCAAAGUAUUUUUAUUUCCCCUGAGAUUUCUUCAUAAGCUCAAGGAAUGGAAAUAUAUUGUUUAGUCUGUACAUAUUAGAAAAAUUUUCUAUCUUUUUGUGAUUGAUUUUGAAUUUAAUUACACUGUAGUUGGUGGACACACUAUAUAUGAUUUCAAUUCUUUUAAGUAGUUUUAUGAUUUGUUUUAUGGCCCAGGAUAUGGUCUCUCUUGAUGUAUCUUCUGUGGGCACUUGGAAAGAAUGUGCUUUCCUCUACUGUUGGAUGGAAUAUUCCAUAAAUGUUGGUUAGAUCCUUUUGAUGGUGUUCUUGAGUUCUGUAUUCUUGAUGAUUUUCUGACUGGUUGUCCUAU